CCCCCCCCCCCCGGCCACAGUUAAAGUAAUCUUAACGCUUAUUAUAAGUAUAUCCGUGCAACCCGGAUUGGUCUAAUGCCAACUAGCUAGCCCACAGCCAAAAAUCAAACAUCAACUAUUAUAUAAACCCAAACGUACUGACACGUAAAUUAAACAAAUCAUUUUUCCCCUUUAGUACGGGCGACAGAAACAGGUCUUUAGGCGCUAUAGAGAAAGUACCGUAAGGGAACGCUGAAAGAGAACUGAAACAAACCAGUGAAGCUAAAAAUAGCAGAGAUUAAACCUCGUACCUUUUGCAUCAUGAUUUAGCCAGCGUAAACCAAGCAAAGUGCACUUUAGUUUGAUAACCCGAAACUAAGUGAGCUACUCCAAGGCAGCCUAGGUAUAGGGCAAACCCGUCUCUGUGGCAAAAGAGUGGGAAGACCUUUGAGUAGGGGUGAUAGACCUACCGAACUUAGUAAUAGCUGGUUGCCUGGGAACUGAAUAGAAGUUCAGCCCCCAAGCUUCUUUAUUCCCGCAUUAAUUUAAACCUAAUGAUAUUAAGAAUACUUGGAGAGUUAGUCAAAGAAGGAACAGCUUCUUUGACAUAAGGUACAACUUUUAUAGUGGGGUAAAGAUCAUAUUUAAAUCAAGGCAAUACAUCCCAGUGGGCUUAAAAGCAGCCUCCUGCAAGAAAAAGCGUUAAAGCUUAGAUUUUCCCUCAACCCUACAAUCAUGAUCAACCAAUCCUAACCCCCUUACACUACCAAGCUACCCCAUGCAAACAUGGGAGAAACUAUGCUAAUAUGAGUAAUAAGAGAGCUCACGGCUCUCUCCCUGCACGCGUGUAAAUCAGAUCGGACAACCCACUGAAUACUUAACGGCCUCACCCAAAGAGAGUAAUAAGUAGCAUAAUAAAGAACCAGAAAAUUACUUAACAAAAACCGUUGACCCCACACAGGAGUGCUCCCAAGGAAAGACUAAAAGAGAAAGAAGGAACUCGGCAACCACACUAAGCCCCGCCUGUUUACCAAAAACAUCGCCUCUCGUAACCUAAAAAUGAGAGGUCCCGCCUGCCCUGUGACUCUAAGUUUAACGGCCGCGGUAUCCUGACCGUGCAAAGGUAGCGCAAUCACUUGUCUCUUAAAUAGAGACCUGUAUGAAUGGCAUAACGAGGGCUUGACUGUCUCCUUUCUCAAGUCAAUGAAAUUGAUCUUCCCGUGCAGAAGCGGGAAUAACCACAUAAGACGAGAAGACCCUAUGGAGCUUUAGACGUAAGAACAGACCCUGCUGAAUAACCCUACAAAGGAGAAUUAAGGUAUAGGACCUCCCUGCUCAGCGUCUUUGGUUGGGGCGACCGCGGAGAAAAAUCAAACCUCCGUGUGGGCCGGGAGUGUUUUACCUUCCUCCUAAAACCGAGAGCUACAGCUCUAAGCAACAAAAAUCUUGACCAAUCAGAUCCGGCAGAGCCGAUCAGCGGACCGAGUUACCCUAGGGAUAACAGCGCAAUCCUCUUCUAGAGCCCAUAUCGACAAGAGGGUUUACGACCUCGAUGUUGGAUCAGGACAUCCUGAUGGUGCAGCCGCUAUCAAGGGUUCGUUUGUUCAACGAUUAAAGUCCUACGUGAUCUGAGUUCAGACCGGAGUAAUCCAGGUCGGUUUCUAUCUAUGGCGUGGCCUUUCCCAGUACGAAAGGAUCGGAAAGGGGGGGCCAAUGCCUCAGGUACGCCUCACCCCCAUCUUAUGAAGGCAACUAAAUAAGGCAAGAGGACACAGCUCCCUUGCCUUAUUUAACGGCUU
rnacentral:rRNA from 1 species